rnacentral:rRNA from 1 species
GAUGAACGCUGGCGGCGUGCUUAACACAUGCAAGUCGAACGGAAAGGCCCAAGCUUGCUUGGGUACUCGAGUGGCGAACGGGUGAGUAACACGUGGGUGAUCUGCCCUGCACUUCGGGAUAAGCCUGGGAAACUGGGUCUAAUACCGGAUAGGACCACUUCUUGGAUGUUGUGGUGGAAAGUUUUUUCGGUGUGGGAUGAGCUCGCGGCCUAUCAGCUUGUUGGUGGGGUAAUGGCCUACCAAGGCGUCGACGGGUAGCCGGCCUGAGAGGGUGUACGGCCACAUUGGGACUGAGAUACGACCCAGACUCCUACGGGAGGCAGCAGUGGGGAAUAUUGCACAAUGGGCGCAAGCCUGAUGCAGCGACGCCGCGUGGGGGAUGACGGCCUUCGGGUUGUAAACUCCUUUCGCUAGGGACGAAGCGUUUUGUGACGGUACCUGGAGAGGAAGCACCGGCUAACUACGUG